AUCCGGCGGGUACCCCCGUUGCUCCGGCCGCACGGAUGGACACCGAUCCGGUGCAGGCCGCACCAACACCAUCCCUCCCUGCCGCCAUCGCUCCCUCACUCACGUGUUCUCAGAGUAGAAGGCCGCACGGCCCCACCGAUGGGUAUUUAUAGUCUGAGAGGUCUCGCGAGAGUACCGCCUGGCAGUGCAGCCCCGCACGCUGAAUGAGGAAUACGCCCGGGGCAGAGCGGUGCGUUGCGCUCACUUAUACAGGGUCCGGGGCUCCGAGACCACGUUGUCACUGCGCGGUGGGCUGCGCUCUUCCUGGAUGGAUGGACAGCGGUACCAUGUGCUCCUUGUGCCUUCACAAGGGCUCUCCUCGCUGCUUAUGACAGCUAUGCAGGGCAAGCGGUGCUGCGGCGGACGAUGAUGGAGUACUCACAGCAGAAGCACUUUGAAGUGGUCUUGUUCUGUAUUUCUAUGUGCAAUAAAGGGUGGAUUACUUGAAA